rnacentral:snoRNA from 1 species
GGUCGAAGGUCCCAGCAGAGAGGUGAGGACUCUUUGGUAUUGAGAUCUCUCUAACAAAGAUUCAAUGCCUUCGUAUAUAUUAAUUUUGCCGAAUCGUAGGAUGCCCAAUAUUUUUUAACCAUUUUUGGACCAUCUUGAACCCUCGGCUACAAUUUU